ensembl:miRNA
ACCCUGGGAUGCCAUUACCAUCUUACUGGGCAGCAUUGGAUGUUUUCUGUGUUUCUAAUACUGCCUGGUAAUGAUGAUUAUGGUGUCUCGCAC